AAAAAUGCAAAACUGAAUCCAAAAAUGCACGGAGCUCCCAUCCCCCAUCUUUCUCUCACACGACCUAGCUGGCUAGCUCUCUCUCCCUCUCCCUAUCCCCCUGCGCCGUCGCCCCUCUACACCGCUUGCGUCGCCGGUGUUAACGCCUCUCCUCCACAUUGCCGUCCCCAUGGGCCGGCGCCGCAUCUCCUAUGCUGCCAGCUCUUUGGACCGCGGCCGUACCUCCACCGGCCCCCUCACCCUGAGCUGCGACUGCUCGCAAACCCUCGGAGUGGCCGCCGCCUCCCUGCGUCGGGCGCAUCGUCCACCUCACUCCGUCCCUCCCGAGAGCGAGAUCGUCAGCAGCAACGCCAUGGGAUCUGCAACAACAGAAGGAGGAAGAACACUAUGCUGAUUGCUCGGCGUUGAAAUUGUGCAUUACUGAUGCUCUGACACUGUUGUCUGUGUGUGAUUUGAAGCUGCGCGGCAUUCGGAUAAUGUACUGUAUUCAUCUACCUCCGGAAGCGGCCCAACAGAUUCUUCUUACGUUCAGCUUCACGAUGGCAGACGUUCCAUGUCGGCGGUAGAGGACGUGACGCGCAACAUGAGAGCCUGACGCACAUCAAUCUGGUGAUUUCCUUCCGCCGGAUACUAUUUCCCUUUUGAUACAUCAGGUGUGCUGUGCAUGUUCAGUCUGCGCAUUUGUUUUUCUGUGUGCAUUUUAUGUGUUCGACGAAAUGCCCAACCGCUAACGCUACUGUUUUGUGUUCUCGACACUUUUACCUGCAGCAGGUUAACUUCAUCUGCACAUAAAUAUGAUGACAUGUCUGUAACUUUUCUUCUGUAGUUAAACAAAACGUCAUCAGGGUCUGGCAAUUUAAUUAUGUAAUCUCUAUAAUGUAAUGGCCUGCUGAAACAAGAUACUAGAGCUGCGUCUGAUGCAAAGUUUAUUCAUCAAUUAAACACUUCCGUCUUGGUGAUAAACAUCAUCAUUUAAGAAUUUGUUAGUUUAUUUUCUUGAUUC